rnacentral:RNase_P_RNA from 1 species
GGAGUCGGCCGGGCGGUCGCUGUCGCGCAAGCGGCAGAGGAAAGUCCGGGCUCCGCAGGGCAGGGUGCCAGGUAACGCCUGGGCGGCGCGAGCCGACGGAAAGUGCAACAGAGAGCAGACCGCCGAACGGUUCCUCCGGGAAUGCGUGGCAAGGGUGAAACGGUGCGGUAAGAGCGCACCGCGAGUCUGGCAACAGACCGGCACGGCAAACCCCACCUGGAGCAAGGCCGAAUAGGGAUCCCAUGACGUGGCCCGCGUCGGAUCCGGGUUGGCCGCACGAGGCGCGUGGUGACACGCGUCCCAGAGGAAUGACCGUCCUCGACAGAACCCGGCUUACAGGCCGGCUCCAAUC